GAUGAACGCUGGCGGCGGGCCUAAUACAUGCAAGUCGAGCGAACAGAUGAGGAGCUUGGUCCUCUGACUGUCGCGGCGGACGGGGGAGUAACACGUGGAGAACCUACCUAUAAGGCUGGGGUAACUGCGGGAAACCGGAGGUAAUACCGGAUAAUAUAUUGAACCGCAUGGUUCAAUAGUGAAAGACGGUUUGGCUGUCACUUAUAGAUGGAUCCACUCCCCAUUAGCUAGUUGGUAAGGUAACGGCUCACCAAGGCAACGAUGCGUAGCCGACCUGAGAGGGUGAUCGGCCACACUGGAACUGAGACACGGUCCAGACUCCUACGGGAGGCAGCAGUAGGGAAUCUUCCGCAAUGGGCGAAAGCCUGACCGAGCCACGCCGCGUGAGUGAUGAAGGUCUUCGGAUCGUAAAACUCUGUUAUUAGGGAAGAACAACUGUGUAAGUAACUAUGCACGUCUUGACGGUACCUAAUCAGAAAGCCCCGGCUAACUACGUG
rnacentral:rRNA from 1 species